CUGUGCCUUGCUGGUUUGCUUCUGUUGCUGCUGUGCAGAGUGUCUGCCUUCUGUCCCAGGAUCUCAUCAUCUGCCGCCGCCCACAGAUGAAGCAGGAGGCUCAAGAUGAACUUGGCCAAGGUCAC